rnacentral:tRNA from 1 species
GGUCCCGUAGCUCAGCUGGAUAGAGCAACGGUUUCCUAAACCGUAGGUCGCGUGUUCGAAUCACGCCGGGAUCGCCA